rnacentral:rRNA from 1 species
UUUUGGACAAUGGGCGCAAGCCUGAUCCAGCCAUGCCGCGUGCAGGAAGAAGGCCCUCGGGUUGUAAACUGCUUUUGUACGGAACGAAAAGGUGCUCCCUAAUACGGAGCGCACAUGACGGUACCGUAAGAAUAAGCACCGGCCAACUACGUGCCAGCAGCCGCGGUAAUACGUAGGGUGCGAGCGUUAAUCGGAAUUACUGGGCGUAAAGCGUGCGCAGGCGGUUUUGCAAGACAGUGGUGAAAUCCCCGGGCUCAACCUGGGAACUGCCAUUGUGACUGCAAGGCUGGAGUGCGGCAGAGGGGGAUGGAAUUCCGCGUGUAGCAGUGAAAUGCGUAGAUAUGCGGAGGAACACCGAUGGCGAAGGCAAUCCCCUGGGCCUGCACUGACGCUCAUGCACGAAAGCGUGGGGAGCAAACAGGA